GAUGAACGCUAGCGACAGGCCUAACACAUGCAAGUCGAGGGGCAGCACAUGAGUAGCAAUACGAUGGUGGCGACCGGCGCACGGGUGAGUAACACGUAUGCAACCUACCUUCUACCAGGGGAUAACCCGUUGAAGGACGGACUAAUACCCUAUAAUACAGGGGCUCCGCAUGGAGAUAUUUGUUAAAGAUUCAUCAGUAGAAGAUGGGCAUGCGCAUGAUUAGCUAGUUGGCGGGGUAACGGCCCACCAAGGCAUCGAUCAUUAGGGGUUCUGAGAGGAAGGUCCCCCACACUGGUACUGAGACACGGACCAGACUCCUACGGGAGGCAGCAGUGAGGAAUAUUGGUCAAUGGGCGAGAGCCUGAACCAGCCAAGUCGCGUGAAGGAAGACUGUCCUAUGGAUUGUAAACUUCUUUUGUACGGGAAUAAAGUGGGCUACGUGUAGCCUUUUGUAUGUACCGUACGAAUAAGGAUCGGCUAACUCCGUGCCAGCAGCCGCCGUAAGAC
rnacentral:rRNA from 1 species